rnacentral:rRNA from 1 species
GACGAACGCUGGCGGCGUGCUUAACACAUGCAAGUCGAACGAUGAAGCCGGAGCUUGCUCUGGUGAAUUAGUGGCGAACGGGUGAGUAACACGUGAGUAACCUGCCCUUGACUCUGGGAUAACUGCGGGAAACUGUAGCUAAUACCGGAUACGACCCUCGGAGGCAUCUCCUGGGGGUGGAAAGAAUUUCGGUCAAGGAUGGACUCGCGGCCUAUCAGCUAGUUGGUGAGGUAAAGGCUCACCAAGGCGACGACGGGUAGCCGGCCUGAGAGGGUAAGAGGCCAGACGGGGACUGAGACGCGGCCCAGACUCCUACGGGAGGCAGCAGUGGGGAAUAUUGCACGAUGGGCGCAAGCCUGAUGCAGCAACGCCGCGUGAGGAAUGACGGCCUUCGGGUUGUAAACCUCUUUUAGCAGGGAAGAAGCGAAAGUGACGGUACCUGCAGAGAAAGCACCGGCUAACUACGUGCCAGCAGCCGCCGUAA